ACGAACGCUGGCGGCGUGCUUAACACAUGCAAGUCGAGCGGUAAGGCCCUUUCGGGGUACGACGAGCGGCGAACGGGUGAGUAACACGUGGGUGACCUCGCCCUCCAGCUCUGGGAGUAAGCCCGGGAAACCGUAGGGUCGUAAUACCGGAUAUGACUUCAUGACGCAUGUUGUGGAGUGGAAAGCCUUGUGCGGCUGAGGAUGGGCCCGCGGCCUAUCAGCUUGUUGGUGGGGUGAGGCCUACCAAGGCGACGACGGGUAGCCGGCCUGAGAGGGCGACCGGCCACACUGGGACUGAGAUACGGCCCAGACUCCUACGGGAGGCAGCAGUGGGGAAUCUUGCGCAAUGGGCGAAAGCCUGACGCAGCGACGCCGCGUGAGGGAUGACGGCCUCGGUUGUAACGUACUUAC
rnacentral:rRNA from 1 species